rfam:Cricetulus griseus cell line CHO-K1, whole genome shotgun sequence.
ACCGCUGAGCCAUCUCUCCAGCCCCCAAUAAAUAAAUCUUAAAAAAAAUUAAAAAGAGGGGCUGGAGAGAUGGCUCAGCGGU